rnacentral:rRNA from 1 species
UACGUAGGGGGCUAGCGUUGUCCGGAAUCAUUGGGCGUAAAGAGCGUGUAGGCGGUCCGGUAAGUCCGCUGUGAAAGUCGGGGGCUCAACCCUCGAAUGCCGGUGGAUACUGUCGGGCUAGAGUGCGGUAGGGGAGACUGGAAUUCCUGGUGUAGCGGUGGAAUGCGCAGAGUAUCAGGAGGAACACCGGUGGCGAAGGCGGGUCUCUGGGCCGUAACUGACGCUGAGGAGCGAAAGCAUGGGGAGCGAACAGG